rnacentral:rRNA from 1 species
GAAAUAAGAUUUUAAAUGAGUGCUAAGAGAAUGAUUAAACAAUUAAAAGCUUUCUUUAAUUAAAAAAUUAAAUUUAAUUUUUUAGUGCAAAAGCAAAAAUAAAAUUUAGGGACAAGAAGACCCUAUGAAUUUUUAUUGUUAAUAAUUAAAAUUUAAGUUAUUAAUAAUUUAAUUGGGGCGAUAAAAAAAGAAUAAGUAUCUUUUUAAUUAUAAAAUAAGUUCCGUUUUUAGCGAUUAAAUGAAAUAAAUACUCUAGGGAUAACAGCGUAAUAAUUUUGGAUAGUUCAUAUAGAUAAAAUAGUUUGCGACCUCGAUGUUGGAUUAGGAUUCUU